GCCUCUGUAGCACAAUGGAUAGUGUUUUGGACUUCGAAUACAAAGGUCGUGUUCGAAUCCAACCUGGGAUG